rnacentral:rRNA from 1 species
GACGAACGCUGGCGGCGUGCUUAACACAUGCAAGUCGAACGCUGAAGCUCAGCUUGCUGGGUGGAUGAGUGGCGAACGGGUGAGUAACACGUGAGUAACCUGCCCUCUUCUUUGGGAUAACGCCCGGCAACGGGUGCUAAUACUGGAUAUUCAAUGCUUCUCGCAUGGGGGUUGGUGGGAAGGUUUUUUCUGGUGGGGGAUGGGCUCGCGGCCUAUCAGCUUGUUGGUGGGGUGAUGGCGUACCAAGGCUUUGACGGGUAGCAGGCCUGAGAGGGUGACCGGUCACAUUGGGACUGGGACACGGCCCAGACUCCUACGGGAGGCAGCAGUGGUGAAUAUUGCACAAUGGGCGAAAGCCGGAUGCAGCGACGCCGCGUGAGGGAUGGAGGCCUUCGGGUUGUAAACCUCUUUCGCUCAUGGUCAAGCCGCAGCUUUGGGUUGUGGUGAGGGUAGUGGGUAAAGAAGCGCCGGCUAACUACGUG